AUAAUGGGUCAGCGACUUAUAUUCUGUAGCAAGGUUAACCGAAUAGGGGAGCCGAAGGGAAACCGAGUCUUAACUGGGCGUUAAGUUGCAGGGUAUAGACCCGAAACCCGGUGAUCUAGCCAUGGGCAGGUUGAAGGUUGGGUAACACUAACUGGAGGACCGAACCGACUAAUGUUGAAAAAUUAGCGGAUGACUUGUGGCUGGGGGUGAAAGGCCAAUCAAACCGGGAGAUAGCUGGUUCUCCCCGAAAGCUAUUUAGGUAGCGCCUCGUGAAUUCAUCUCCGGGGGUAGAGCACUGUUUCGGCAAGGGGGUCAUCCCGACUUACCAACCCGAUGCAAACUGCGAAUACCGGAGAAUGUUAUCACGGGAGACACACGGCGGGUGCUAACGUCCGUCGUGAAGAGGGAAACAACCCAGACCGCCAGCUAAGGUCCCAAAGUCAUGGUUAAGUGGGAAACGAUGUGGGAAGGCCCAGACAGCCAGGAUGUUGGCUUAGAAGCAGCCAUCAUUUAAAGAAAGCGUAAUAGCUCACUGGUCGAGUCGGCCUGCGCGGAAGAUGUAACGGGGCUAAACCAUGCACCGAAGCUGCGGCAGCGACGCUGAUGCGUUGUUGGGUAGGGGAGCGUUCUGUAAGCCUGUGAAGGUGUGCUGUGAGGCAUGCUGGAGGUAUCAGAAGUGCGAAU
rnacentral:rRNA from 1 species